rnacentral:rRNA from 1 species
GGAUACCGCUUUCACGUUGGAAAAACGGAAAGCUGGAAACGGUCCGCCGCCGGAGGACGUGACUGCGGCCGAUUAGGUAGACGGUGGGGUAACGGCCCACCGUGCCAAUAAUCGGUACGGGUUGUGAGAGCAAGAGCCCGGAGACGGAAUCUGAGACAAGAUUCCGGGCCCUACGGGGCGCAGCAGCCGCGAAACCUUUACACUGCACGACAGUGCGAUAAGGGGAUCCCGAGUGCGAGGGCAUACAGUCCUCGCUUUUCGUGACCGUAAGGUGGUCACAGAAUAAGGGCUGGGCAAGACCGGUGCCAGCCGCCGCGGUAAUACCGGCAGCCCGAGUGAUAGCCAAUUUUAUUGGGCCUAAAGCGUCCGUAGCCGGCCGAACGGGUCCGUCGGGAAAUCCACCCGCUUAACGGGUGGGCGUCCGGCGGAAACCAGUCGGCUUGGGGCCGGGAGACCAGAGGGGUACGUCCGGGGUAGGAGUGAAAUCCUGUAAUCCUGGACGGACCACCGGUUGCGAAAGCGCCUCUGGAGAACGGACCCGACGGUGAGGGACGAAAGCUAGGGUCUCGAACCGGAUUAGAUACCCGGGUAGUCCUAGCCGUAAACGAUGCUCGCUAGGUGUGACGCAGGCUACGAGCCUGCGUUGCGCCGUAGGGAAGCCGAGAAGCGAGCCGCCUGGGAAGUACGUCCGCAAGGAUGAAACUUAAAGGAAUUGGCGGGGGAGCACUACAACCGGAGGAGCCUGCGGUUUAAUUGGACUCAACGCCGGACAUCUCACCGGCACCGACAACGUGCAGUGACGGUCAGUUUGAUGAGCUUACCUGAGCCGUUGAGAGGAGGUGCAUGGCCGCCGUCAGCUCGUACCGUGAGGCGUCCUGUUAAGUCAGGCAACGAGCGAGACCCGCGUCCAUAAUUGCCAGCAGCACCCUUGUGGUGGCUGGGUACAUUAUGGAGACUGCCGUCGCUAAGACGGAGGAAGGAACGGGCAACGGUAGGUCAGUAUGCCCCGAAUGUGCCGGGCGACACGCGGGCUACAAUGGCCAGGACAGUGGGACGCUACCCCGAGAGGGGACGCUAAUCUCCUAACCCUGGUCGUAGUUCGGAUUGCGGAUUGAAACUCAUCCGCA